UGAGUCAAGAUUCAUACAUCUGGAAUGCACAAAGCAAGGGGAAAUCAGCAGGGACUGGUCAUCCGGAAGCUGUGAUGGAGAGAAUCCAUGGUCCCAUGGAUUCAGCGGGAGGCAGUUACAGUCACUCACAGCAGAGUCUGGGGAAACGGAAAGGAUGUAGAAGCCAAGAGCAUCGCUUUGGACAGGAGAGACAAGCAGCUCUUGAGCAACAGCCAUCUGCUGAGGAAAGGGCAUUUGCUGGUCCUGUUGCCUUUCACCUUUGGAGUUCCUGACUCCUGCUCCACCCACCAGGAAGCCACUAUUUACCCCAGAGAAUAAGCAAAGUACCCACAGAGCUGCUGUAAGGCAAGAUCUCACCUCAAGACUUCAGAUUAGCCGGGCAUGCCUUUAAUCCCAGCUCUCAGGAGUCAGAGGGCAUUCUUACCGAAUCAUCUCAAGAUGGCCUAAACAACAGAAACCUAUUGGUGGAGGCUGGAAGUCUAAGAUGAAGGUACCUUCAGGGCUGUGUGCCCUCUAAAGAUUUUCAGAGAGCAGGCUUCCUAGAUCCUUCAGCUGUGGUUCAUCCAGGUAAGCCCUCAUCCAGUGGCUGAUGGAAGCAGAGGCAGACACCCACAGAUAUACACUGAACUG